GUAGGGAAUAUUGCGCAAUGGACGAAAGUCUGACGCAGCGACGCCGCGUGAGUGAUGAAGGCCUUAGGGUCGUAAAGCUCUGUUGAAUGGGAAGAAAAAAAUGACGGUACCAUUCGAGGAAGGACCGGCUAACUUCGUGCCAGCAGCCGCGGUAAUACGAGGGGUCCUAGCGUUGUUCGGAAUCAUUGGGCGUAAAGGGUGUGUAGGUGGCCAUGUAAGUCAGGUGUGAAAGCCCCGGGCUCAACCCGGGGAGUGCACUUGAUACUGCGUGGCUUGAGUACCGAAGAGGGUAGUGGAAUUCCAGGUGUAGUGGUGAAAUACGUAGAUAUCUGGAGGAACACCGGUGGCGAAGGCGGCUACCUGGUCGAGUACUGACACUGAGACACGAAAGCAUGGGGAUCAAACAGGAUUAGAUACCCCUGUAGUCC
rnacentral:rRNA from 1 species